rnacentral:rRNA from 1 species
UACGUAGGUGACAAGCGUUGUCCGGAUUUACUGGGCGUAAAGGGCGCGUAGGCGGCGACUCAAGUUAGAUGUGAAAGUCCUGGGCUUAACCUGGGGACUGCAUUUGAUACUGGGUUGCUUGAAUUCGGGAGAGGAUAGCGGAAUUCCCAGUGUAGAGGUGAAAUUCGUAGAUAUUGGGAAGAACACCGGUGGCGAAGGCGGCUAUCUGGACCGACAUUGACGCUGAGGCGCGAAAGCGUGGGGAGCAAACAGG